CUGAAAACACUCCCACUCUAGAUCAUUUCUAUAGUGACUGACUAGGAAACGUGAUUUGAAAGUGAUACGUCUCCCUGAUCACGAUGAAGAGCUGUGAUGUAUUCUUCUGAGCGUGAACUAAUGAUUUCUAUUACAGGCUUGAGUCAUUGAUGAACGUUCUCUGUUUCUUAUGAAGUACGAGAGGAAGAGUACAUGGUCAGAGUGAU